rnacentral:rRNA from 1 species
UGGGGAAUUGUUCGCAAUGGGCGCAAGCCUGACGACGCAACGCCGCGUGGAGGAUGAAGAUCUUCGGGUCGUAAACUCCUGUCGAGCGGGACGAACACUUAUCCGGUUAAUACCUGGAUAGGCUGACGGUACCGCUAAAGGAAGCCCCGGCUAACUACGUGCCAGCAGCCGCGGUCAUACGUAGGACCCAAGCGUUAUCCGGAUUGACUGGGCGUAAAGAGUUGCGUAGGUGGUUUGAUAAGCGAAUAGUGAAAUCUUGUGGCUCAACCAUAAGGCUAUUAUUCGAACUGUCAAACUCGAGAAUGGGAGAGGCAUCUGGAAUUUCUAAUGUAGGGGUAAUAUCCGUAGAUAUUAGGAGGAACACCGAUGGCGUAAGCAGGAUGCUGGACCAUUUCUGACACUAAGGCACGAAAGCGUGGGGAGCGAAC